rnacentral:rRNA from 2 species
UGAGUUUUGAUCAUGGCUCAGAUUGAACGCUGGCGGCAGGCCUAACACAUGCAAGUCGAGCGGAAACGAGUUAUCUGAACCUUCGGGGGACGAUAACGGCGUCGAGCGGCGGACGGGUGAGUAAUGCCUAGGAAAUUGCCCUGAUGUGGGGGAUAACCAUUGGAAACGAUGGCUAAUACCGCAUAAUGCCUACGGGCCAAAGAGGGGGACCUUCGGGCCUCUCGCGUCAGGAUAUGCCUAGGUGGGAUUAGCUAGUUGGUGAGGUAAUGGCUCACCAAAGGCGACGAUCCCUAGCUGGUCUGA